rnacentral:lncRNA from 1 species
GCAGCUGCCGGACACCAGGAGACGAUGGAAGGUCUAUAGUGUUACAGCUCUGACCCAGGAAGUCCCAGGGUCUUGCCUUCCAGAAGGGUCGCGGCUCUUCCCUCCCUCAGUCCAACGAACAGGAGCACGUCACCUCCCGCAGCUCGGGGAGCUGGCCAGGAACGUGUUACAGCCCGUUUCGCUCCUGUCCGCAGCUGGGUGAGGCAGCCAGGAAAAUAUUACAGCUCUUCUCACGCCCGCCAUUCAGCAGGUCCUGACUUCUUGUGUGACAUCCAGAAGAAAGGGGUUACACAGACAGCUGGAGGGUGAGCAAAGUGGAGAAGUUCUCAGCAGAGAGGAGACUGGAGUGAGUUGCCCCUACCCGCAGAUUCCAAACCAUAUUUGAGCAGGGAGAAAAAUCAGUGCACUUGAAGAUAAGACAAUGGAAAUUGAGUCUUGGAAGAAGAGGGAACAGAUUCUGUGGGACACAGCAAACAGACCACCAUGUGCAUUGUGGGAAUCCCCGAAGAAGAAGAAAAAGAAAAUGGAAUAAAAUACUCAAAGAAAUAGUGGCUAAAAACCUCUUAAAUGAAAAAGAUACAAGUACGAACAUUAAAAAAAUUCAAAACACAUCAAAAUGAAAUCAAAGAGACCCACACUAAGACACUUUAUAAUCAAUCUUUUGAAAGAUAAAGACAAAAAGAAGAUCUUAAAAGCAGCAAGAUAACUGACUUACAUACAAGAGAUCAGCAAUACCAUUAUCAGAUUUCUCAUGAGACAUUUUGAAGGCCAGAAGGCAUUGGACCUUGAAAAUCUCCCAAGUGCUGAAAGAAAAAGCAAAAACAAAACAAAAAAACCCACAAAAACAAAACAAAACAAAAUAGCCACAAAAAAUGCUGUCAACCAAGAAUCCUAUAGAAAAUCUGUCCUUCAAAUGUAAGAAAUUAAAACAUUUUUAGAUGAACAAAGCUUUGGGAAUUUAUUACCACUAGACCUACUCUACAGAAAAGUUUCAAGGGACUUCUACAAAAUGAAAUAACACUAGACAGUAAUUUGAAGCCAUAUAAAGAAAUAAAGAUGUCAACAAAGGAAAGACAGCAUUCAAGGAACCACCUUGUACGCAGACACUGAAACCUCGCGAGACAACAAAACUGCUGACACCUUGAUCUUGGACUUCCCAGCCUCCAGAACUAUAAACCAGCAAAGAGUACAUAGAACAAACAUUUUUUUUAGAAGGAUUAAAUGGGACAAUUAAACAAUUUGAUCAGCAUAAUGUCCAGCUCAAGGAUCUUGGAGGUGGUGAGGCAGCCCAAGUGGAAAGGCAGCAGAAGGGGUAUCCUUGUUUUACCAAUUACUCAUAUGUAGGAGAUGGUGCAUUAAAUGAAAUAUUCUCUGCUCUCUCCUAACAUCUACCCCCUCACACCAAGAGGAAGGCAUGUCGCCUGAACCUUUGCAGUAUUCAAUUAAAGUUCUAUUCACACGGUAUUGCAGUUGUUUGCUUAUCUUUCUUUCUUAUUAGACUUAAAACUUCUGGAAACUAGAGGCUAUAUUACUUAUUUGCCUCAGAGUCCUGUUGGCCUAUCAAAUGGCACACCUUCAAUCCAAGAAUGAAUUAAUUAAAUAAAUGUGAAGAAAAAAAAAAUCCAAGUUGCUUAUUUUUGUUAAAUUUAUUUUUCCCCAAAAUAUUUACUGAGAAAAUGACUCUGGGAAGAUAGCAGAGUGGAAAGCCCCAGAAAUGUGUUUCCCCACCUAGACAACAACUGUACUGGCAGAAUCUGUUUGAUGUGACUAUUCUGAAGUUCUGAAUUGAAUAAAUAUGAAGAAAAUACAAA